AAGAGAAAAUAUGUAUCGACUGUCGAAAGAGUGUAACCAGAAGGGGAGCCUUGGCGCAGUGGUAAAGCUGCUGCCUUGUGACCAUGAGGUCACGGGUUCAAGUCCUGGAAACAGCCUCUUACAGAAAUGUAGGGAAAGGCUGCGUACAAUAGACCCAAAGUGGUCGGACCCUUCCCCAGACCCUGCGCAAGCGGGAGCUGCAUGCACUGGGGCUGCCCUGUCGAAAGAGUGUAACCAGGUCAGACCAUCAUAUAAAAGAGUGUGACCAGCAGCAGAUUUCAGAGGGAAGUUGAUUUUACCCCUAAAUAAGAUGAUCCAUUUGACAUGCUGUAAAUGGACUAAUGAAAUAAUGUAGAACUCCUCUGCAGAUUGUACAAAGUGUCAAAAAUGUGUUUAAGUAAAAUGUAGAACAAUGGAAGUAAAAGUUAUACACCUGAAUAAAGCAUAACCUACAAGAAUCACAAGGGCUAAAAAUUCAGAACGCAGAAAAUUUACAUAUGCCAAGAAGGUCACUGACCAAUAACCAUGUGUACUUCCAUAUUAUGCAAACAAGGGAUAAAAAUUGUUUGAUCUGCAGUUAAUCACCUAAGCAUUGGUUUAACACAGUGGUGCUACUUUUCUUUUUUGUCCAAAACGGAACCAUCAUGUCUUGAGUUUCCUAAACAACAGUAGACAUGCAUAAGAAUCCCAGUACUCCUGUUAAAAAAAAGAAUCCUAGUACUAAUGUGCAUCCAGUGAUAACCAAAUAUACAGCUCAUUAGACAACCAAAUAUACACAAAAGCAAAUAUGCUAAAAAAGUCCUUUUGAAGCACAACAAAAACUUUGUAUUCUACUUCUUGACCAAAUAUAAAAAUAAUAAUGUGUAUCCAAUGAUUUUUUUACCCAAUGCAUGAAUAUAGAUAAUGCCACGUUACUCAAUAACUAUGUAAAUGCCUGAUGAUACAUGGUACUACAAACAUGAUUAGAGCAUAACAGAAGGCUCCUGCAAUGCUAUUGUCAUUGUUUUCUCCGAUGAUAGCUGUGAACAGGAAAAAUAAUACAAUACUUGAAUGUGAUUCCAUGUGGUUCUGAAGCCAUUAAGGAAAAGGUUCAUGACAUAAAACCACUUUACCCUAGUCCUUGAAGAUGAUGUUUCACCAACUUACGUUCGAUUCCUUGCAGCACUUCCUUCGGAUUCUGGACCAAAUUUUGUAUGACUAAAGAAAAUCACUUCCUAUCCCAAAAUUGACUAAAAAUCUCAAGCGUUUCCAUACUAAAAAUCAUAACUGGACCAAAUUAUUUUUAAAUUUAUCCAAGAUUUGUUGCGCGCGAUUGAUAUGUCCACCGACAGAUUUUUGGUUUAGGGUCAGUGCUUUCAAUUGGAGUAAGUCAGACAUAAGACUAAGCAUCAAAUUUAU
rnacentral:lncRNA from 1 species